AUGCAGACAGCAUUAAAAAAAUGACACCUGUUACUCAUUUUUUUAUGGAAAAAAAGUAGAGAAACGUCGAAAUCCCCUACUCACAACAACUUCUCAAGAUGACGCGCUUCGCAAUAGAAGCGAGUGCGUCACAAGUUCACACCUUGGACACGUGAACUGAUUUGUCUGUGGUUUCUUGUAGCCUUCCCCCUCUCCAACGUCUCUUUCUUCAUCUAGUAAGAGUUGCCGCAGCAAGGACAACACGUGCUUCGUCCUCUUUACUCGAGAUAAUGCCACGUCAAAUCUCAAGGAAGAUGGGAUUUAUCUAGCCAGCUAUUCCUCCUUCCAUUUUGGGAAUCUGUUGAAAUUUUUCAGAAAAAAGGUUGAUUCUGAUUUGAGGCUAGGUUUUGGUUUUGAAAUUUUAAUGAAUUGGAGAGUUGUUUAGAAAUUUCACAAGAAUUUUGAAACCCUAAUUUCCCCUCUAUAUAAAUUCGUUUUAUCUUCCAUAGGACAGUGAUUUUGUUAUGGGAAAGAAGUUUUUCUUUAGGGGUUUGGAAAUUUUGCUUUGAAAUUCAUUUCACAGAAAAACAAAGCCUCUGUUUGAGGAGAAUAAAUAUUUGGUUUGGAACUUUUCUUACAAAAACAAAAAGGGAACCAGGAAGAUUUUUAGAGAGGGAACUAUGAGUCAGAAAUCUUGCAAGAUAUCCCGACUAAAUAUUCUCGAGUUAAUUUCGUUUUGAAUUUUUCUUUGUUUUCUCUGUUCUAUUCGCUUGAGGUCCUUGGAGUCACAUUUGGCGGAGGUGGUAAAGUCUUCCUUUCUCGUGUCUAGUUUGUUGCUACUCGAAAGGUGCAUGUGCAGCUGGACUCUAGAGCUUAUGAGUCGAUGUUGAAGUUGUCCAAACGUGGAGCUUUCAUCCGGAUUUGUUUUAGGUGUAGGUGUUGUUGGACAAUAGAGCUUAGGAGUCAACAUUGAAGUUAGCGGGUGUGAAGCUUUCAUCCGGAUUUGGUAGGCCCUCUUGCUUUCGAGGAUGCUUGC